GCUGGGGCUCAGUGGUAGAGUGCUUACCUAGCACAUAUGAGGCACUGAGUUCGAUUCUCAGCACCGCA
rnacentral:tRNA from 1 species